rnacentral:misc_RNA from 1 species
GAUGAAGAACGCAGCGAAAUGCGAUAAGUAGUGUGAAUUGCAGAAUUCAGUGAAUCAUCGAAUCUUUGAACGCACAUUGCGCCCCUUGGUAUUCCAUGGGGCAUGCCUGUUCGAGCGUCAUUUGUACCUUCAAGCUCUGCUUGGUGUUGGGUGUUUGUCUCGCCUCUGCGUGUAGACUCGCCUUAAAACAAUUGGCAGCCGGCGUAUUGAUUUCGGAGCGCAGUACAUCUCGCGCUUUGCACUCAUAACGACGACGUCCAAAAGUACAUUUUUACACUCUUGACCUCGGAUCAGGUAGGGAUACCCGCUGAACUUAAGCAUAUCAAUAAGCGGAGG